rnacentral:rRNA from 1 species
ACCUAACCAGAAAGCCACGGCUAACUACGUGCCAGCAGCCGCGGUAAUACGUAGGUGGCAAGCGUUGUCCGGAAUUAUUGGGCGUAAAGCGCGCGCAGGCGGUUCCUUAAGUCUGAUGUGAAAGCCCACGGCUCAACCGUGGAGGGUCAUUGGAAACUGGGGAACUUGAGUGCAGAAGAGGAAAGUGGAAUUCCAAGUGUAGCGGUGAAAUGCGUAGAGAUUUGGAGGAACACCAGUGGCGAAGGCGACUUUCUGGUCUGUAACUGACGCUGAGGCGCGAAAGCGUGGGGGAGCAAACAGGAUUAGAUACCCUGGUAGUCCACGCCGUAAACGAUGAGUGCUAAGUGUUAGAGGGUUUCCGCCCUUUAGUGCUGCAGCAAACGCAUUAAGCACUCCGCCUGGGGAGUACGACCGCAAGGUUGAAACUCAAAGGAAUUGACGGGGGCCCGCACAAGCGGUGGAGCAUGUGGUUUAAUUUGAAGCAACGCGAAGAACCUUACCAGGUCUUGACAUCCUCUGACAAUCCUAGAGAUAGGACUUUCCCCUUCGGGGGACAGAGUGACAGGUGGUGCAUGGUUGUCGUCAGCUCGUGUCGUGAGAUGUUGGGUUAAGUCCCGCAACGAGCGCAACCCUUGAUCUUAGUUGCCAGCAUUCAGUUGGGCACUCUAAGGUGACUGCCGGUGACAAACCGGAGGAAGGUGGGGAUGACGUCAAAUCAUCAUGCCCCUUAUGACCUGGGCUACACACGUGCUACAAUGGAUGGUACAAAGGGCUGCAAGACCGCGAGGUUUAGCCAAUCCCAUAAAACCAUUCUCAGUUCGGAUUGUAGGCUGCAACUCG